rnacentral:lncRNA from 1 species
AUGGCCCGUCUGAGUUCAACAUUUCCCUCGCUCUCCCUUCCGACCUCUCUCACCUCUCUCACCUCCACCUCAUACCACUACCUCCUUACCCUCCUCUCCGACCUCUCUCACCUCCACCCCUACCACUACCUCCUUACACUCCUCUCCGACCUCUCUCCCCUCCACCUCCACCCCAUACCACUACCUCCUUACCCUCCUCUCCGCCCUCUCUCACCUCCACCCCUACCACUACCUCCUUACCCUCCUCUCCGCCCUAUCUCACCUCCACCCCAUACCACUACCUCCUUACCCUCCUCUCCGACCUCUCUCAACUCCACCCCUACCACUACCUCCUUACCCUCCUCUCCGCCCUCUCUCACCUCCACCUCCACCCCUACCACUACCUCCUUACCCUCCUCUCCGCCCUCUCUCACCUCCACCUCCACCCCUACCACUACCUCCUUACCCUCCUCUCCGACCUCUCUCACCUCCACCCCUACCACUACCUCCUUACCCUCCUCUCCGCCCUCUCUCACCUCCACCCCUACCACUACCUCCUUACCCUCCUCUCCGACCUCUCUCACCUCCACCUCCACCCCUACCACUACCUCCUUACCCUCCUCUCCGCCCUCUCUCACCUCCACCUCCACCCCUACCACUACCUCCUUACCCUCCUCUCCGCCCUCUCUCACCUCCACCCCUACCACUACCUCCUUACCCUCCUCUCCGCCCUAUCUCACCUCCACCUCCACCCCAUACCACUACCUCCUUACCCUCCUCUCCGACCUCUCUCACCUCCACCCCUACCACUACCUCCUUACCCUCCUCUCCGCCCUCUCUCACCUCCACCUCCACCCCUACCACUACCUCCUUACCCUCCUCUCCGCCCUCUCUCACCUCCACCUCCACCCCUACCACUACCUCCUUACCCUCCUCUCCGACCUCUCUCACCUCCACCCCUACCACUACCUCCUUACCCUCCUCUCCGCCCUCUCUCACCUCCACCCCUACCACUACCUCCUUACCCUCCUCUCCGCCCUCUCUCACCUCCACCCCUACCACUACCUCCUUACCCUCCUCUCCGACCUCUCUCACCUCCACCCCUACCACUACCUCCUUACCCUCCUCUCCGACCUCUCUCACCUCCACCCCUACCACUACCUCCUUACCCUCCUCUCCGCCCUCUCUCACCUCCACCCCUACCACUACCUCCUUACCCUCCUCUCCGCCCUCUCUCACCUCUUGUCCUCCCUCUGUUUUCUCCUCCUUUCCCUGCUUCCCCCUAUUUUCCAUCCAUACCUUCCUCUCACACCUCUCCCCUCCCUAUCUCCUCUCCUCUCUUUUCCCUGCCUCCUCCUCUCCUCCCUCUAUCUCUUCCUCUCCUUCCUCUAA